rnacentral:tRNA from 1 species
CAGGACAUAGUUAAAAGUAAAACAUCUCCCUUACACCGAGAAAGUACCCGUGCAACUCGGGUUGUUCUGA